AUUGAACGCUGGCGGCAGGCCUAACACAUGCAAGUCGAGCGAGCGGCGGACGGGUGAGUCAUGUCUGGGAAACUGCCUGAUGGAGGGGGAUAACUACUGGAAACGGUAGCUAAUACCGCCUACAAUCAGAUGUGCCCAGAUGGGAUUAGCUAGUAGGUGGGGUAAUGGAGCACCAAGGCGACGAUCCCUAGCUGGUCUAAGAGGAUUGCCAGCCACACUGGAACUGAGACAGUGUCCAGACUCCUACGCGAGGCAGCAGUGGGGAAUAUUGCACAAUGGGCGAAAGCCUGAUGCAGCCAUGCCGCGUGUAUGAAGAAGGCCUUCGGGUUGUAAAGUACUUUCAGCGUGGAGGCGUUACCCGCAGAAGAAGCACCGGCUAACUCCGUGCCAGCAGCCGCGGUAAUAC
rnacentral:rRNA from 1 species